GCAGAGAUGGCUCAGUGGUUAAGAGCACUGACUGUUUUUCCAGAGGACCUGGGUUUAAUUCCCAGCACUUACA
rnacentral:tRNA from 1 species